GAUGAACGCUGGCGGCGUGCCUAAUACAUGCAAGUCGAGCGAACAGACCAUAAGCUUUCUCCUCUGACGUUAGCGGCGGACGGGCGAGUAACACAUGGAUAACCAACCUAUAAUACGGGGAUGACUUCGGGAAACCGGAUCUAAUACUGGAGAAUAUAUUGAACCGCAGGGUGCAAUAGUGCAACAGGGCUUGGGUGCUACUUAUAGACGGAGCCGCGCCGGAUUAGCUAGUUGGUAAGGUAACGGCUUACCAAGGCAACGAUGCGUAGCCGACCUGAGAGGAUGAUCAGCCACACUGGAACUGAGACACGGUCCAGACUCCUACGGGAGGCAGCAGUAGGGAAUCUUCCGCAAUGGGCGAAAGCCUGACGCAGCCAUGCCGCGUGAGUGAUGAAGGCCUUCGGGUCGUAAAACUCUGUUAUUAGGGAAGAAAAAAUGUGUAUGUAACCCUGCACGUCCUGACGGUACCUAAUCAAUAAGCCCCGGCUAACUACGUG
rnacentral:rRNA from 1 species